AGAGUUUGAUCCUGGCUCAGGACGAACGCUGGCGGCGUGCCUAACACAUGCAAGUCGAACGCGAAAGGGGAGCUUGCUCCCCGAGUAGAGUGGCGCACGGGUGAGUAACACGUGGGUAACCAACCCCCGGGUGGGGGAUAACAGUUCGAAAGGACUGCUAAUCCCGCAUGAGACCACGAUGGCGCAGGCCAUUGGGGCCAAAGGAGAAAUCCGCCUGGGGACGGGCCCGCGUCCCAUCAGCUUGUUGGUAGGGUAACGGCCUACCAAGGCAGUGACGGGUAGCUGGUCUGAGAGGACGACCAGCCACACUGGGACUGGAACACGGCCCAGACUCCUACGGGAGGCAGCAGUGAGGAAUAUUGGACAAUGGGCGAAAGCCUGAUCCAGCAACGCCGCGUGGGUGAUGAAGGCCUUCGGGUUGUAAAGCCCUUUCAGGAGGAACGAGGAAGGACGGUACCUCCAGAAGAAGCACCGGCUAACUCCGUGCCAGCAGCCGCGGUAAUACGGAGGGUGCAAGCGUUGUCCGGAAUCACUGGGCGUAAAGCAGGUGCAGGCGGCUCGUUAUGUCGGGUGUGAAAUCCCGCGGCUCAACCGCGGAACUGCGCCCGAAACUGGCGAGCUUGAGUGCGAGAGGGGGUGGUGGAAUUCCCGGUGUAGAGGUGAAAUUCGUAGAUAUCGGGAAGAAUACCGGUGGCGAAGGCGACCACCUGGCUCGCUACUGACGCUCAGACCUGAAAGCGUGGGGAGCAAACAGAAUUAGAUACUCUGGUAGUCCACGCUGUAAACGAUGGACACUAGGUGUUGGGGGUGUCGAUUCCCUCAGUGCCGAAGCUAACGCAUUAAGUGUCCCGCCUGGGAAGUACGGCCGCAAGGCUAAAACUCAAAGGAAUUGACGG
rnacentral:rRNA from 1 species